AGUCCCGUAGUGAAAUUCACAUAAAAUUGCAAAUUUUAAAAUGCAGGGUCAAACCUGCCGGGACUU
rnacentral:tRNA from 1 species